CUUGAUUUAAUGGAAACUUUGUGCAGUACAGACUGCAAGAGCUGUGCCUUGGAGAAAGAAUUCAUGGGAUAAAAUCUCUGAUGCUGUGUUGCCAGUGCCCCAGGAGCAGGCUACACAGUGACCAGCUGAUGACCCAUCGCUGCCUUGCUCAGUUGGACCUCACUUCUCGGAGAAGGAAGACUGAAUAGUUCACUUCUUCUCUCUUGACCACUUUGUACUACAAGAUACCCUUC
rnacentral:lncRNA from 1 species